GGAUGUGAGGGCGAUCUGGCCUCGACAUCUGUCACCCCAUUGAUCGCCAGGGUUGAUUUGGCUGAUCUGGCUGACUAGGCCGGGGGGGGGGUCCCUUCCUCCCUCACCAUUCCAUGGCCUCCCUCCUGAAGGGGCUUGCUCAGUCGAAGAGGGCGACCUUCCCCAAAUAGAGGAGGGCCAGUCUUCGGUCAAGAGUAUACGAGUAGCUGUGCUCCCCUGCUAGAACCUCCAAACAUGCUCUCAAGAAUAAAGAAGGAAAACAGAGGUGCAGUGCUUUGUCU
rnacentral:snRNA from 1 species